rnacentral:lncRNA from 13 species
ACCUGCCUAAAAUCAAUAAAUGAGUUUAUUGUGAUGGUGUUUAAUCAGAUGAUUUAUUAGACUUCAAAAUGUAGAUAUUCCAAAGGUGCAUCAUCAGCUUGAAUGGAGGCCUGGAGAUGAUCAACAUGUUUAUGUUCAUUAACGAUUACCGUGAGACCGGCAGUCUUCUGCUUGACAAUAACCAGCUGACAGAAUAUAACUGCCACAGCCCUUAGGUCCCCAACACAUGACCUUAACCCUGACAGAAUAUAACUGCCACAGCCUUUAGGUCCCCAACACAUGACCUUAACCCUGACAGAAUAUAACUGCCACAGCCCUUAGGUCCCCAACACAUGACCUUAACCCUGACAGAAUAUAACUGCCACAGCCUUUAGGUCCCCAACACAUGACCUUAACCCUGACAGAAUAUAACUGCCACAGCCCUUAGGUCCCCAACACAUGACCUUAACCCUGACAGAAUAUAACUGCCACAGCCCUAGUCCGACGCACCGGUUUCUAUCAAAAACUGCAAUGCUGCCUGGUUUUUCUAGUGUAUAUCAAGAAUGGUCCACCACCCAAAGGACAUCCAGCCAACUUGACACGACUGUGGGAAGCAUUGGAGUCAACAUGGGCCAGCAUCCCUGUGGAACGCUCGACACCUUGUAGAGUCCAUGCCCCGACGAAUUGAGGCUGUUCGGAGGGCAAAAGGGGGUGUAACUCAACAGUGUUUCUUAAGUGAUCAACUUCAAUUUAUAAAGGCAGGUCCCAAAUCGUGGACUCGAUCCAAGGCGGGUUACAGCGCCAGCGACCAAAACUUUGAAACCGUUGUUCAGUUAAAUAAAAGAGGGGGGGAUCAUUUCACAACGUAUCGUUGUGCCCCAUCAUUUCACAACGUAUCGUUGUGCCCCAUCAUUUCACAACGUAUCGUUGUGCCCCAUCAUUUCACAACGUAUCGUUGUGCCCCAUCAUUUCACAACGUAUCGUUGUGCCCCAUCAUUUCACAACGUAUCGUUGUGCCCCAUCAUUUCACAACGUAUCGUUGUGCCCCAUCAUUUCACAACGUAUCGUUGUGCCCCAUCAUUUCACAACGUAUCGUUGUGCCCCAUCAUUUCACAACGUAUCGUUGUGCCCCAUCAUUUCACAACGUAUCGUUGUGCCCCAUCAUUUCACAACGUAUCGUUGUGCCCCAUCAUUUCACAACGUAUCGUUGUGCCCCAUCAUUUCACAACGUAUCGUUGUGCCCCAUCAUUUCACAACGUAUCGUUGUGCCCCAUCAUUUCACAACGUAUCGUUGUGCCCCAUCAUUUCACAACGUAUCGUUGUGCCCCAUCAUUUCACAACGUAUCGUUGUGCCCCAUCAUUUCACAACGUAUCGUUGUGCCCCAUCAUUUCACAACGUAUCGUUGUGCCCCAU